rfam:Myotis davidii contig192310, whole genome shotgun sequence.
GGCGGUUCUAGGGUGAUGCACCCGGAAUGGGGCUCCCUCCUCUCUGGUUCUGGGUGCGUGAUCCAAGAAUUGCA